rnacentral:rRNA from 1 species
UGGGGAAUAUUGCGCAAUGGGCGAAAGCCUGACGCAGCGACGCCGCGUGAGGGAUGAAGGCCUUCGGGUUGUAAACCUCUUUCAGCAGGGACGAAGCGAGAGUGACGGUACCUGCAGAAGAAGCACCGGCCAACUACGUGCCAGCAGCCGCGGUAAUACGUAGGGUGCAAGCGUUGUCCGGAAUUAUUGGGCGUAAAGAGCUCGUAGGCGGUCUGUCGCGUCGGCUGUGAAAACUCGGGGCUCAACCCCGAGCCUGCAGUCGAUACGGGCAGACUAGAGUGCUGUAGGGGAGACUGGAAUUCCUGGUGUAGCGGUGAAAUGCGCAGAUAUCAGGAGGAACACCGGUGGCGAAGGCGGGUCUCUGGGCAGUAACUGACGCUGAGGAGCGAAAGCGUGGGGAGCGAACAG